rnacentral:rRNA from 1 species
GGCGGUAGGCCUAACACAUGCAAGUCGAACGAGUGGCGGACGGGUGAGGAAUACAUCGGAAUCUACUCUGUCGUGGGGGAUAACGUAGGGAAACUUACGCUAAUACCGCAUACGAUUGAAUGAGCCGAUGUCGGAUUAGCUAGUUGGCGGGGUAAAGGCCCACCAAGGCGACGAUCCGUAGCUGGUCUGAGAGGAUGAUCAGCCACACUGGAACUGAGACACGGUCCAGACUCCUACGGGAGGCAGCAGUGGGGAAUAUUGGACAAUGGGCGCAAGCCUGAUCCAGCCAUACCGCGUGGGUGAAGAAGGCCUUCGGGUUGUAAAGCCCUUUUGUUGGGAAAGCGGUACCCAAAGAAUAAGCACCGGCUAACUUCGUGCCAGCAGCCGCGGUAAUACGAAGGGUGCAAGCGUUACUCGGAAUUACUGGGCGUAAAGCGUGCGUAGGUGGUCGUUUAAGUCCGUUGUGAAAGCCCUGGGCUCAACCUGGGAACUGCAGUGGAUACUGGGCGACUAGAAUGUGGUAGAGGGUAGCGGAAUUCCUGGUGUAGCAGUGAAAUGCGUAGAGAUC